UGUCCACUCUCUGGUUCUAUCUCUUGCUGCCCUUGGGAGAGAAUCACAUGGCAAAGAACAGAGUGGACUUGGGCUCACAGACAGUGAAAAACCAAGAUGCAAGUGCAGAGGGUGCUGAGCCCUACAAAACCCCAGACUUUAAAAAAAAGAGAAACAGGCAGUGAUUUCCGGCCCCACGGUUGCCGCGGGUCACUCCACGGGCUGCUGCAGGAGUGAAAGACGCUAUUUUGUGGUUGGACCCAGGCAGCAGAGGUGCAGAGAGGCAGUGGAAGUACAUGGUGAUGUGGCAGGCCACGUCGUUCCAGCCGCCCGAGGCCACCAUCUCCACGCAGUCCUCCUCGUCGUAGGCAUUGUUGGGCUCACCGCUGCGCCACUUGCUAAAGGUCUGCAUAGGGGAGCGGUCGGAGUACACGAAGGCGCCCUCGCGCUCCAUGUCGUUGAUGCCGAUGAAGACGCGCGCCAGGCCGGCCUGCGCCAGGUAGGCGGCCAUCAGCCCGUUGGCCGCCUCGUCCUUAGGCAUGCCCAGCGUGCCCCCGCGGCCCUGGCAGGACAGCUGCGCGUCGGCGUAGCGUUUCUCCUCCUUCACCAGCAGGAAGAAGUUACAAUGCCACAGCGUGUCUGGCUGCAUCUGAAGGUGACUCUCCAGCAGAGGUACCCUCUGAGCUCCUCCAGACGAAGGAGCUUCCGGUGGAGCACACCUGGGUGCCCGACACAGCCAGGGGGCAAAGAGGGCCAAGCUCACUGCGGGCGCUCUGGAAUUCAGCUGGCUCAGUGCUCUGAGGUGCGCACCCCAGAGCCACAGAGCACUGCACAGGGGCGGGGGGAGGGGGUCCCGAGCUCCGGGACCCAGGACAGGCAGCCGCCCUACUCCCACCCCACACCCACGCUCGGGCCGGCAUGUUGAUGCCAAAGGAGAACCCAGCAUCAAGCACAGGUUCCAGCUGCUGCCUGUGGAUCCUGCCUGGGGGCGCAGCCGUACAGACCCAGGCCCUCACACCCUCCAGCCGAACUGGGGUGGUUCAUGGUGCAGCGAUAUCCCCAGAUAUUAAACUCCCAGAUAUCUUUCCA